CCAUGCAAGUCGAGCGGUAAGGCCCUUCGGGGUACACGAGCGGCGAACGGGUGAGUAACACGUGAGCAACCUGCCCCUGACUCUGGGAUAAGCGGUGGAAACGCCGUCUAAUACCGGAUACGACCCGCCACCUCAUGGUGGAGGGUGGAAAGUUUUUCGGUCAGGGAUGGGCUCGCGGCCUAUCAGCUUGUUGGUGGGGUAACGGCCUACCAAGGCGAUUACGGGUAGCCGGCCUGAGAGGGCGACCGGCCACACUGGGACUGAGACACGGCCCAGACUCCUGCGGGAGGCAGCAGUGGGGAAUAUUGCGCAAUGGGCGAAAGCCUGACGCAGCGACGCCGCGUGGGGGAUGACGGCCUUCGGGUUGUAAACCUCUUUUACCACCAACGCAGGCUUCCAGUUCUCUGGAGGUUGACGGUAGGUGGGGAAUAAGGACCGGCUAACUACGUGCCAGCAGCCGCGGUAAUACGUAGGGUCCGAGCGUUGUCCGGAAUUAUUGGGCGUAAAGAGCUCGUAGGCGGCGUGUCGCGUCUGCUGUGAAAGACCGGGGCUUAACUCCGGUUCUGCAGUGGAUACGGGCAUGCUAGAGGUAGGUAGGGGAGACUGGAAUUCCUGGUGUAGCGGUGAAAUGCGCAGAUAUCAGGAGGAACACCGGUGGCGAAGGCGGGUCUCUGGGCCUUACCUGACGCUGAGGAGCGAAAGCAUGGGGAGCGAACAGGAUUAGAUACCCUGGUAGUCCAUGCCGUAAACGUUGGGCGCUAGGUGUGGGGACUUUCCACGGUUUCCGCGCCGUAGCUAACGCAUUAAGCGCCCCGCCUGGGGAGUACGGCCGCAAGGCUAAAACUCAAAGGAAUUGACGGGGGCCCGCACAAGCGGCGGAGCAUGUUGC
rnacentral:rRNA from 1 species